ACUCAUGUUUUUCCUCAGAUCGUAUAAAUCUUUCGCCUUUUACUAAAGAUUUCCGUGGGGAGGAGCACAAUGAGUAUUAUCAAUUUUUUGAUGUCCUGCUUAAUUGCGGGGCU